rnacentral:lncRNA from 1 species
AAAGAGACUGUCAUUUCUCCACUGUAUAUUCUUGCCUCCCUUGUCAUAGAUUAAUUGACCAUAGGUGCGUGUGUUUACUUCUGGGCUUUCUAUACUGCUCUAUUGAUCUAUAGGUCUGUUGUAGUGCCAGUAACAUACUGUAUUCAUUACUGUAUGUUUGUAAUAUAGUCUGAAUUCAGGGAAUGUGAUUAUAAUUUUUGGAUUUGGACUUAUUUUCGAAGUCUGUCUCCAUGUAGAGAAUUGAGAGGUAAAUUGACAGAUUUUUCUUCUACUUUUUAUUUUAUCAUCUAACACCUUAAUCCUUAUAGAAUAAUUUUGGAUUGUGAUAUGAAGCAUGAGUACUGACUAAUAUAUAUGCCCUUACUAGUGACUUCUGCAGGUAAUCCUCAGGAUCAUUUUGACUUCAAAAGUAGGCAAAUCAACCUAUUAAAAUAAAUAGUCAGGAUGUCAAGUUCAGGAAAUAUCUCUUUCAGAUUUUGAUUAGAAUUGCAUUGACUAUCUAAAUUAACUUUAAGAAAAAAUUGAUAGCUUUUAAAAUUUUACUAAUACAUCUAAGAACAAUUUAUGUCUCUAUUCAAAUAAUAAUGUUAAGAUUAUGGUGAUUUACAGUUUUAAACAAUUUUAAGCAAUUUUACAAAAUUUAUAUUUUUAUGUGAUAUAUUUACUAUAUAUACUAUACUAUAAUAUAAAUACUAUAGUAUAAAGUAUACUUUAUUGAAGUUCCCAUCAUGGCGUAGUGGAAACAAAUCCAACUAGGAACCAUGAGAUUGCGGAUUCAAUCCCUGGCCUCAGUCAGUGGGUUAAGGAUCUGGUGUUGCUGUGAGCUAAGGCAUAGGUCACAGAUGUGGCUCAGAUCUGGCUUUGCUCUGGCUGUAGCAUAGGGUGGCAGCUGCAGCUCUGAUUAGACCCCUAGCCUGAGAACUUCCAUAAGCCUUGGUUGCAUCCCUAAAAAGCAAAAAACAAAUAAAUAAAUGAAGUGUACUUUAUCAUAUAUUACAUAUUAAUGUAAAAUUUAAUAGUAAAACUUUAUAGUUAAUAACACUAAAUUAUUAGAUAACCUCAUAUUUUCUUUAAAAUAUUUUAGUGUUUUCUUUUUUUUUGCCAUUUCAUAUUAACUUUAUUUUUUUGUGAGCUUAGAGAUUUAUUUCUGCUCAUUGAGAUCUUUUAUUUUUUCUAUUUUUUUAUUUUAUUAUUAUUAUUUUUAAUAGUUAUUUCCCCAAUACAAUUUUUUUUUAUACCGUACGGCAUGGUGAUCCAGUUACACAUAAUGUACACAUUCUAUUUUCACACAUUAUAAUGCUCCAUCAUAAGUGUCUAGACAUAGUUCCCAGUGCUACACAGUGGUGUUUUAUUUUCUUGAUAUUGAAAUUCAUUUUACAUAAAUUUUAUAACUGAUUAUUAAACAUAUUAGGAGAGAGAUUAAAAGGGGAAAAUAGCACCACAUUUAAAACUUAGACUUUUUUUAAAACUACUUAAUGAAUUUUAUUACAUUUAGAGGUGUACAACAAUCAUCACAACCAAAUUUUAUGGCAUUUCCAUCCCAAACCCUCUGUGUAUCCGCCUACCCCACAAUCUGUCUCAACUGGAAACCAUAAGGUUUUCAGUCUGUGAGGCAGUAUCUGUUCUGCAAAGAAGUUCAGUCUGUCCUUUUUUCAGAUUCCACAUGUCAGUGAAAGCAUUUGAUGUUGGUGUCUCAUUGUCUGAUUGACUUCACUUAGCAUGAAAAUUUCUAGGUCCAUCCAUGUUGCUAAAAAUGCUGGUAUUUUGUUCCUUUUAAUGGCUGAGUAAUAUUCCACUGUGUAUAUGUACCACUUCUCUUGUAUCCACUCCUCUGUCAAUGGACAUUUAGGUUGUUUCCAUGUCUUGGCUAUUGCAAAUAGUGCUGAAAAUGAACUGUAGGUACAUGUGUCUUUGCAAGCUGUGGUUUUCUCUGGAUAGAUGCCCAGGAGUGGGAUUGCUGGUUCAAAUGGGAGUUCUAUUUUUAGUUUUCUGGGGCAUCUCCAUACUGUUUUCUACAGGGGUUGCACCAAUUCACAAUCCUACCAACAAUGUACUAGGGUUCCUUUUUCUCCACACCCUCUCCAGCACUUUAGGCCAUCAUCCAAAAGUUUGUAGACUUUUGGAUGAUGGCCAUUCUAGCUGGUGUAAGGUAGUACCUCAUAGUGGUUUUGAUUUGCAUUUCUCUGAUAAAGAGUAAUGUUGAACAUCUUUUCACGUGUUUUUUGGCCAUCCAUAUGUCUUCUUUGGAGACUUGUCUGUUUAGAUCUUCUGCCCAUUUUUUGAUGGGGUGGUUUGUUUUUUUGGUAUUGAGCUGUAGGAGCUGUUUAUAAAUUUUGGAGAUGAAUCCCUUGUCAGUCAAUUCAUUUGUAAAAAGAUUUUCUCCCAUUCUGUGGGCUGUCUUUUCAUUUUGUUUAGGGUUUCCCUUGCUGUGCAGAAACUUUUAAGUUUGAUUAGGUCCAAUUUGUUUAUUUUUGUUUUUACUGUCAUUACUCUCAGAGGUGAAUCUGAGAAGAUGUUGCUGUGGUUUAUGUCAGAGAGUGUUUGGCCUAUGUUUUCCUCUAAGAGUUUUAUAGUGUCUGGUCUUAUAUCUAGGUCUUUAAUCCAUUUUGAGUUUAUGUAUGUAAUGGUGUUAGGAAGUUUUCUAAUUUCAUUCCUUUCCAUGUGGCUGUCCAGUUUUCCCAGCACCACUUAUUGAAGGGGCUGUCUUUUCUCCAUUGUAUAUUCUUGCCUCCUUUGUCAUAGAUUAGUUGGCUGUAGGUGCAUGGGUUUAAUUCUGGGCUUUCUAUCCUAUUCCACUGAUCUAUAUUUCCAUCUUUGUGCCAGAACCAUAUAGUUUUGAUGACUGUAGCUUUGUAGAGUAGUCUGAAAUCGGGGAGCCUGAUUCCUCCAGCUCCAUUUUUCUUUCUCAAGAUGGCUUUGGUUAUCCUGGGUCUUUUGUGCUUCCAAACAAACUUUAAAAUAUUUUGUUUGAGUUCUGUGAAAAAUGUCCUGGGUAAUUUGAUAGGGAUUGCAUAGAUUGCCUUGGGUAGUAUAGUCAUUUUCAUAAUAUUGACUCUUCCAAUCCAAGAGCAUGGAAUGUCUUUCCAUCUAUUUGUGUCAUUUUUGAUUUCUUUCAUCAGUAUCUUGUAGUUUUCAGAAUACAGGUCUUUUGUCUCUUUAGGUAGAUUUAUUCCUACGUAUUUUAUUCUUUUUGAUGUGAUGGUAAAUGGGAUCAUUCUCCUAAUUUCUCUUUCUGAUCUUUCAUUGUUAGUGCAUAGAAAUGCCAUCAAUUUCUGUGUAUUAAUUUUGUAUCCUGCAACUUUGCCAAAUUCAUGGAUGAGCUCUAACAGUUUUUUCUGGUAGUGUCUUAAUAUUCUCUAGGUAUAGUAUCAUGUCGUGCAAAUAGUGAUAGUUUUACUUCUUCCUUUCCAAUUUGGAUUCCUUUGAUUUCUUUUACUUCUCUGAUUGCUGUGGCUAGGACUUCCAAAACUAUGUUGAAAAGCAGUGGCAAGAGUGGAUGUCUUUGUCUUGUUUCUGAUCUCAGUGGGAAUUCCUUCAGCUUUUCACCAUUGAGAAUGAUGUUAGCUCUGGGUUUACCAUAUAUGGGUUUUAUUAUGUUGAGGUAUGUUCCCUCUGUGCUCACUUUCUGAAGGGUUUUUAAUCAUAAAUGGGUGUUGGAUUUUGCCAAAGGCUUUUUCUGCAAAAAAACUUAAGACUUUUGAUUCAAAUGUAACUGGCUGAGUCCUGACAUUGGAAAAAUGCAUAUUUCUGGCAAGAUUAUAUACCAUACCAAUAGUUCUAUUUCCCAUAUAUGAGGUUGGGAGAAAGAUGAAUAUAUGCAAGAUAUCUAAGAAUAUUACUAAAGUAUGAAUACAUUGUUUCUGUAGGAAUUACUAGCUCUAAAUAAAAUGAACAGAAAGCAAAUAUUAAGACAGGUGACAAAGGAGGGCAGGAACUCUGGGAUCAAUACUAUUUUACUAUACUAUUAAAUCCAAAUGGGUAAGUUAACUGUCUGAGAAUGUGAAUUUUAAAUGCUAAAUUAAGGCCUGAAAAAGAACAAAUACUCUGCAAAGGAAAUGUUAAUAACAAUAUUAUAUAUUAUAAAUAUGUAGCUAUCUCAACAAAAUAUAGAGGUUAAGCAUGAAGGUGAGCAUGAGCACGUGAAGAAAGUAAGAAAGUAACAUUUUCUAAACAUCUCCUAUUCAUGUGGAAGGGAAAAGAAGAGAAGAACAGGAAGAAAUAAAUUUAUUUCUCAGAACCUAUUUUACUGCAGAUGAGAACAGGUCUUGGGGAAAAGAAAGUAAAACGUUUUGAGGUAUAUAAGAGUGAGGAAAUACCUAGCAUUUUCUUUUCUAAUCUUUGCAGAGGAAUAUGUGCCUGAUUAUGCUAAUAGGAUAAGGGGGACCAUGUCAAUAAAAUGGUAAAUAAUAGUAUUACUUUCAAAUUUACAAGGACAAAGUUGAAUGAAAACAAUAUGUAUUAAAGAUAUUUAUUCCUAAUAUGUAGAAUAUACUUAAAAUCAAUAAUAAAAGAAUAAUUAUUUAAAAUGAAAGGAUUUGACCCUUUAAAAAAGCUGAACAAAACAUUCACAAAAUAGCAUAUACAAGUUAAUAAAACUUGGAAAUUUGAUCGACAUUUUUUCCAUCACAGAAAUGAAAAUUGAAACUCAAUGGACCAUUCCAUCCUAUUAAAAGAAC